AACAACCGGAGCCUUUUACGUCUUGAAGAACGGGAUGAGAAAUGAUCACCAAAGUCGCUCAACGUUGGAUUUAUCAUCGUGGACGUGUUGUGCAAAGACACUGACGUCCCAGGCCGCGCUACGAAAUCUUCCGAGAGGGCCACGAUCGCACGGAAGCCCCGGCCUGGAGUGACGCAAGCGUUAGCUCCCCGUCAAAGCACACCGGUGGCCGGAGCCAAUCCAGUCUUUGGAUGGUGGGAGGAAGGCGGAGAGCCCGGAGAGAAUCCACGCAUGCACGGGAGGAACAUUCAAACUCCACACAUGGUCUGGAUGGUCUGCACCUGCAGCUUACCACCACACCACCGCGCCGCCUGAGAAGAAAGAGAAAAAGGGGACUGUUUGCAAUAAUUUGAGAACUGUGGCAGAAGCUUCGACGAAGUGGAAACGCGCUUCAUUCAAGUCACGAUCGACACGCCGUCCCCUGUCCGGCUCUGUCGUGGAACGACGACAGUCAGGCCAACAAGACACGCGAGACGGGACCACACACUGUAUGCCGUUUGUCCCCAUACCGCCUGACAUACGC